AGAACCCCAAAUACAGCUGUUGUUGGAGGUCCGUCGUAUUACGUUGCGAGAUGAGGCUCCAGAUGGUUUCAUGUCCGCGUUGUUGACCAUCUCACGGUUUGCAGACAACCUGCACAACACUGAAGAUCCUUUAUUACGAAGAUAUUAUAAUGACGCUGAAUAUGAUAAGGCAAAACCUCGUUUGGACGAAAUUCUUCGCAGUUCAGGUAUCAAAAUCUCAUAAUCCCAAUUAAAUUACCUUUUUUAUUAUUCUAGAUUAUUUUAGCGCGAUUAUUUUAAUGAGAGAAUUACAUAACUUGAAAUCAAUUAGUUUAUCAAUAUAUAAAUGGGUUUAUGAACAUUUCAGAACGUUUUGCGAACAUCAAAUAGAAAUUUUAUAUCAAACAUAAUAACAUGCAGUGUACUUGGGAAAUUCAUAGUUUUGUAAUUAAAAAUGAAUUUAAUGAUAGUGUGACAACCAC